rnacentral:rRNA from 1 species
UGAGGAAUAUUGGUCAAUGGGCGAGAGCCUGAACCAGCCAAGUAGCGUGAAGGAUGAAGGUCCUAUGGAUUGUAAACUUCUUUUAUAGUAGAAUAAAGUGAGCCACGUGUGGUUUUUUGUAUGUAUACUAUGAAUAAGGAUCGGCUAACUCCGUGCCAGCAGCCGCGGUAAUACGGAGGAUCCGAGCGUUAUCCGGAUUUAUUGGGGUUAAAGGGAGCGUAGGCGGAAUAAUAAGUCAGUUGGGAAAGUUUGCGGCUCAACCGUAAAAUUGCAGUUGAUACUGUUAUUCUUGAGUGUACAUAAGGUAGGCGGAAUUCGUGGUGUAGCGGUGAAAUGCUUAGAUAUCACGAAGAACUCCAAUUGCGAAGGCAGCUUACCGGGGUACAACUGACGCUGAGGCGCGAAAGUGUGGGUAUCAAACA